AUAAAAUGGGCGGUCUUCAGAUUCCUCCAGAAAACUGGGAGAGGCAGCCAUGCAGAUCUCAACCAUGUCUAAGUUCCACAGCCUGGGAGCAAUAACCAAGAUGGCCCUAUCCCACGUGCUUGACAAACGGGCCUCAGCAGGUGUUGGUACGUGGAGCAGAGCCUGCUCUGCUAAUCUAGUCAGAUAUGCAAAGCCACCCCAGAUGUAACGUAAAUCAUCUACAGGGUCAGCUCUUGGACCAGGAUCCCAGUACCUGUGAAGACAAAGCACAUAACUCAGCCUGGAAACUGGGCCGAAGCCGAUGCAUGGGAUGUGCGUGUUUCUAGUUAGCUACAAUUACAGUUGCCAGCAGCUCAGAAAUACACAGUUCAGGACUAAAAGGUGGCAACACUACCUCUACCUUGAAGACAGCCAGAGCAUUCAAGCCUUGUUCUUUGCUAUCAACCCAUAUAUGCCAGGUCACAUGGCAGAAGUCUGGAUGUGAAUUAGCUCUGUACCAAUAUGUAGGUCUGCUACAGGGGAAAGGGGCACCUUUAAGAAAUGUACAGAAUAGUGGAUUUCAGCAGCUGAAGCUUGUCAUACAGGGAGAAGAAAAGCUGCAGCUGCUGAAAUGUCCUCUUCUAUACAUCUCUUAAAGGUACAGGAGACUUAUCCUGUUUUCAACAUGGCAGCCCUAUCUGUUACGGGGGGGGAGCUUUUAUUUCCCCUUGCGGGACCCUUUAAACAAGGUUAUAAUAGUGUUAAUGAGAGAAUUCCCACAUGACAUGGAGCUGGACACGUGUCCAGGCUGAGUCCUUUACCUUCUGCUAUGACUAUGAAUAGACAUUUUAUGGCUACUUGCAUGUUUUACUGGCUACUUGCAAGUGGAAAUGGGGAAGGGAAGCAGGAGUGGGCAACUGAUCUGGUCUGCUCUGUAUGAAACGGAAGGGAAACUAAGGAAAGCGGAGGAAUGGCUCCUUUCCCCUGGGGUGGGGGAGAAGGCAGCCCUUUGUUGAUGAAAUGCAAAGCAAGGAUUGUCUUGCCUCUGCCCCCCACCUCUGGGGAAGUGGGGAGUCAAUGGGGCCAGCCUAUACAAAUUGCAGGAAGCUGCUGAGAACCAGGAAGUGAAACUGGAGGAGGAAGCAGGUCACAGGUGUGGGGUGGGUCGUGGAGGGAGGAGAAUAGACCCAUUCAGUGUUGCUGGGAUCUUACUGAGAGGAAGAGAGAGGGAAGAAGAAGAGUAUAUCUGGUUGGUUGUGGAGUCCAGGUCUGGGAAGAUAACAGCAGCCCAGAAUUUGUUUUCCUCCAGAAGAUGGAGAGCACGUUGAGUCAUCUGAGUUUCAUCAGCUUGGCUUUCAAAUUUAUCAAGGGUUAAGCACUGCGGAGAGUCACAAAGGUGGAAAACAUAUUUGAAUAAGACAAUAAGGCAUAUAUUGGCAGUCACCUAUGUAAAGUCUGGAUACUAAUAUGGUCAUUUAUUUUUCUUUCUUUUAUGUAUACCCUGUCAAAGUCUUUGCCUAGGAACAAAUGUAGGUGCCUGGCUGGCACACCUUCCAGGGAAUGUUCCAUAGAAGGGGUACAUCACUGAGAAGAUCCUUUCCCCAGUCACCACUUGCAGCACUUCUGUGACAGGGGCCUCCAAGGAUGAUCUCAGUGUAUGGAGAUUGGCACAGUCCUUCAGGUACCUUGGCCAUGAAGGCCUUUAAUGGCAAGCAAACCAAAAUAUCAAGCCACAAUUUGGAUCCCGGUUUGUUUAAACUGCAGCUACAACUACAAACGGUGGUUUAUUCAAUUGUCUGAACUGGGUCAGGGAGAUUCUGUGCCAAAAUGAAUGUGUGGCACACCAGCAUCAAAAGUUACUUUCUUCCCAUGGUGAAGGGAUGGAGGAGAGAGACACAGUAUUGAGAGAGAAUUUCUCCAAAAAUCCCUAGUCCCAUCACAAAGCACAGGACACAGGUCUCAAGAUUCCUGGUUUGAAAGCUAUCUAAGUGAAACAGACUCGAAAACAGUUUUGAUUUGUAUGGUAAUGUAGACAUGUCUUAAGAUGUCUCUUGCUGAUCCCAUUCUCAUGCGAAAGUGAUACAUAAAACUGCAAUUAAAAGAAAAGCUGCCAAAAGAUUAUUCUACACUUAAGCCUUAUAAUAACUACCAUCCUAUAAUGAAGAGACUUACUGGAGUAAUCUUACAACAAGUGUUAAGAGACCAGUCAUUACAGAAGUGUCUGGCCAGCAUGAUAACAAAGAACACCAAAGCAAAAACCAUCUUCUUGGAAAACAAAGGAAGAAGAUAAUGUGAAUCUACAAGCAGGAGAAUAAGGCUAGGGGAGCAAACAAAAUUACCAGACUAAAGGGAAAGGAAAGCAUUCCAGUGGGCUGCCAUAAGGAAAAAAAGAACCUGUCUGCUGUACCUUUAACAGAUGCACAAAAGAGGAGCAGUGUACAUCUCUUUCCCACCUUAAGUGGCACAACUGGGAAAAUGCUUGACUAAUAAGCAGUAAGUCUGAGUCAUGAACCCAAUGCUGCUGCUGCUGCUGCUAUGAUUGUUGUUGUUAUUUAUUAUGAUAUUUCAAAUAGCAUUCAUAUAGCACUUUAGAGUGGCUGAGAUCCAGAGUAGCACUGAGUAGUGCAGCAAUGGCCAACAUCCAGGGAAAUGCUGCUACUCUACUUUGUAAUUAUUCUAAUUGUUGUUUUAUGUAUUGUUAAUUUUUUUUGGCUUGUAAACCACCCAGGGCUACUAGAUGGGGCGGUGUAGAAAUGUAAUA